rnacentral:tRNA from 1 species
GGGGAUUUAGCUCAGUGGUAGAGCGCUUGCCUAGCAAGCUCAAGGCCCUGGGUUCGGUCCUCAGCUCCGAGGGAAAAAAAAAGAUAUCUGGGCUCAAAUCCCAGCCCA